AUGAGAUCUGCCCUCCUCCCGCUUCUGCUUGCCGAACCAGCACUAAGCAGGAGUCCCCAAGCUGCUCCAACACUCCCUGCGAUUCGCUGUCCCGGACUUUCUCCUGCCUCACCCCGGAUCCGGUGUUCAACUCGCGGAGCUGUCCUUUGCCAGUCAUUCGUUGAGGCUGACUCCCCAAGCGGCAGGCAGCAUCCCUCCGCCCUCACACCCAUCCUGGGCUGCGGCGUUGGGAGUGGGAACCCGAGGCGGUCUCUUUCCACCAGACUUAACCCGCCCGCAGCAAUAGCCAUGGAAGUUGUGGCGACGCAGGAGAGGGAACCGCUUGGCGCGGCAUCUUUUUUGGAUGUUUCUUCUCUACCCAGAUCACUUCAUUCCUCCUUCUUGGGCCUUCUAGCAGAGGGAAGCCAAGUGUGGAGAUGGAGUUCCAGAGAAGGUGGCUCUGAAGCACUUGGGGAACCUACACCUGCCUAAAGGUUGGAGGAAUCAGAAUAGUGCCAUCAGAUUGGUACCAAUUUUGCCUGAAUGAGGUCUGCAGAAAAUUCCCUGGCAGCUUAUAGGGUCAGUGACAAAGCACUUACCAACCCUUCCCACAGAUAACAAUGAACCUCUGUGGAUCUUGCCCUGGGACUCAGAAACCUGGGCAGUGGGGGAUGGAUGAUGUGAAAGAUGCUGCUGAUACAAGGCUCCCCCCAAAGCCUUAGGGUGUGCCAUAGAAAGCAGGCUUGGGAAAAAGCUGGAUAGACUCUUCCUCUUUCUUCUCUCUCUCUCUCUCUCUCUCUCUCUUUUUUUUUUGGCAUUUCUUGGGCCGCUCCCGUGGCAUAUGGAGGUUCCCAGGCUAGGGGUUGAAUCGGAGCUGUAGCCACUGGCCUACGCCAGAGCCACAGCAACGCAGGAUCCGAGCCACGUCUGCAACCUACACCACAGCUCACGGCAACGCCGGAUCCUUAACCCACUGAGCAAGGCCGGGGAGCGAACCCACAACCUCAUGGUUCUUAGUCGGAUUCGUUAACCACUGCACCACGACGGGAACUCCUCUUCCUCUUUCUUAAGGCAAUGAUGAUCUAACCUAACCUUGCACUAGAUGGUAAGCUCCAUGAAGGCAAAGUCCAGGUCAAAACUUGUUUAUUUGUUUGGUGUUUUUUCCAUAUUGUCAGUAAUGGCAUAUAGAAGGAGCUCAAGACAUAAGUAAAAUUAACAGCUAAUGGACAGUAACUUAAACUACUUCCUGUCCAACACUGCUUCCUGCAAUUCAUUCCUUCAUUUAGCAAGCAUUUCUUGAGCAUCUACUCUGGGCAAGUCUCUGUCGCUAGGCAUCUGAAGCAAUUUAUAAACAUUAUUUAUAGUGGUACUUCGAGUAGCUCAUUCAAAAGCAUCUCAGGACCACCAGGUUCUUCUGGAGACCGAGGUCGCAGCGCAAGCCCGUUCGUGGAUUCAGGCCCAGGCAGUAAGAGCCGAGGGAAAGGGGAAAUGC
rnacentral:lncRNA from 1 species